UUCUUUUUUUUUAGACACCCAAAUCUUUUUUUAUUGGGGGAAUGGGUUUCUAGGGGGUAGGCCUGGAGCUCUCACUGCACAGCUUGUUCAUUGGCACUGCCUCCAGAAUCCUGUGGCUUCAUCACAUCUGGAAGCUCCGGAGGGCUGGAGAAGGGUUCAAUACGCAGCGCUUCAAAGCUGUCAUCUGCUCGAAAGGCCAGGCCCACUGUGGCUGGGGCCUGUGGCCUUGCUGUCUGACUGGUGAAGCCACAUUCGCCCAGAGUUUUUCCGUCAUCAAGGAGCUGGUCGUCCUUGUACAGCUGCUGCUCCUCUGGCGGCCGCUUGAGGAUGCCCUCUACGAUGCGCUUCAGUUCGAACACCGUGCUCGACUCCUUGGCGUCCGUA
rnacentral:lncRNA from 1 species